AAACUAACAGAUUUACUUCGGUAAUGACGUUAGGAAAGCGAGCGGCGGAUGGGUGAGUAACACGUGGGGAACCUGCCCCAUAGUCUGGGAUACCACUUGGAAACAGGUGCUAAUACCGGAUAAGAAAGCAGAUCGCAUGAUCAGCUUUUAAAAGGCGGCGUAAGCUGUCGCUAUGGGAUGGCCCCGCGGUGCAUUAGCUAGUUGGUAAGGUAAAGGCUUACCAAGGCGAUGAUGCAUAGCCGAGUUGAGAGACUGAUCGGCCACAUUGGGACUGAGACACGGCCCAAACUCCUACGGGAGGCAGCAGUAGGGAAUCUUCUACAAUGGACGCAAGUCUGAUGGAGCAACGCCGCGUGAGUGAAGAAGGUUUUCGGAUCGUAAAGCUCUGUUGUUGGUGAA
rnacentral:rRNA from 1 species